AACCGAAAGUAACUAAGUAGUAGGAGUAGAAAUCCCUUCGUUGACCAAAUUAGUCGUUUGGUCAUAUUGGUAAAGUAUAAAUAGAAGGUUCAUAUACACUGUGACUUUUGAAUGGUCAUUUAAUUAUAACCUGUCCUAGUGUGAGAUCACAUUUGCGUUAAAUAUAUUUUGGGGUUUUCUUUUUUUUUGGACGCAGGAGUAGGUAAUCCAAAAGUUAUGAAAUCCUACAUACAAUUUCAUUGGUUUAUAAUGUAGUCAGAAUUCUGUUGCUUCUGGAAGACUUUCAACAUCAACGGCAUUAAAAAUAUUUUAUAUAAAUUUUGAUAAGACUGAAUCUGUUUCUGAUCGAUUUUAUUUGAUGCGCAAUUUAAAAAUCCAGGUAGAC
rnacentral:lncRNA from 1 species